UGAUAUUUAGACAACAUUUUUUUGACAACAUUUGAACAUUGAUUACGUGUCAAUCUGUGAUUAGUUAAAAAUUACUCCACAAUCAAUAAUAAUAAUAAUCAUAAACAUUAUUGUGGAGUAAUUUUUGACCAAUCAGAGAUUGACACGUAAUCAAUGUUCAAAUGUUGUCAAAACAAUGUUGUCUAAAUAUCA
rnacentral:pre_miRNA from 1 species